GUCAGCGUCAUAACGUCAAAACGCCAUAACGCCGUAACGCCGUAACGCCAUAACGUCAUAACGUCGGGAGCCGCCCACCUAGUGUUACGACGCUGAAGUCGUUCUCCUCGCUUCUUCUCCUCACGCGGGCGUGUCAUCCUCGGGAGGCCUCGCAAGAAGGAGGGUCCCUCUGUGGGAGCAAAUAGCAAGGGGACCAGACCUGGUGCAGAGUGCGAGAGAGAGGGAUUCCUGGUGAAAGGGACAAUGACACGAAGGCUGAAGGCAAGACCUUGCAGGUUAGAAGCUUCCAUCCUGAGGUGCGACUGGAGGCAAGCAACCAGAAGCUCUCAGAAGCUAGAUACACCAGAAAUAUGCUCAGGAAAAGGGAUACAAGAGAUCUAGGAAAUAGAUGCACCAAUGGAAGAAAGAAGCAAUGACACACAGGGAGAAAGCCACGUGAUGAUGGACGUAGAGACUGGAGUCAUGCUGUCAGAAGCCGAGGAACACCUCGGGCCACCAGAAGCUGGAAGAUGCAAGGAAGGAUCCUUCCCUCUGCUUCAGAGAAGGCACAGCCCUGCCAACACAUUGACUGCAGACUUCUGGCCUCCAGAACUGUGGGUGAUGGGUGAUGGUGGCAGAACAGGUUCUACAGAAAUGUCUGGCAUCCCUUGUUCCCAAGCUUUGAAGCCUCUGCCAAAUACAUAGAGACGUCACAUUUAACAUCCUGUUACAAAGGCGUAGAAUGAGUGGGUGUGAGCUAAGGAUUUUGCGCCGGACUGGCACACGGGGAUCAACGAAUGGGGAUGAAAAUGCUAUCAAUCUGAGCUCCCAAAGCUUCAAGGAGACACCUAAAGAAGAGGAGAGUUAAGUUUUUCUGUCCCACUGCCUCCCAGAGGUGGUAGUUGACCAACCCUGCAGAACACAGAUGGGAAAGAUGUCCCAUACUCUUACCCUCUAAAUGGAAGAUUGGAAAAGAAUAUCGAGAGAGGGAAAAGAAGUGGAUACAUACGAGCUAUGGGUGUAAAGGCCCUGGCUGGAACUUUUUGCCAAAGGGAUGGUGAAGAGGUAGCUGCAAGUAGGAUUCUUUGGGGGAAGUCAAUCCAAAGUGGGUUGGAAAAACGAGGCCCGCAACAAGCAGGUAAUAGCCCCAGUUUGUUCUCAUCUCUCUCUAUCCAUGCCCUGGGCAAUCCCUUCCCACACUCACUCUGGCCUUGGCCGUGUGACUUGACAAAAGCGAGCAGAGACUUGCAGAGUACUGGUGCAUUAGAGCGGCCCCCUCUUGCUGCCGGAACCCCAGAACCACACACAAAGUGCCCCCGGCAGCCUCCAAGAUGCCGAGAGACCCUAAGGCCAGGCCAGGCUGUGUGGACACCUCAGCUGCCCCAGCAGCCCCCAGCCCCCAUGUCAGAGGGUAAGGCCAGCAGAAGCGUCACCCAGCCAAGCCACAGAAUGAAGAGAAAUAAUAAGUUAUUGUUG